rnacentral:lncRNA from 1 species
GUAUCAUGGAGCCUGUAGGUGAUCUGGAUUCAAGACAGCAGGCUCUCAAGCCUAUUCAAACAAAGAGAUCAGCAGGAAGAGAAGUAGAAGGAGAUGGCGAAAAACCCGAGGAUAUCGAAGAAGAAGAAGAACCUCUGAGUCCAGCUGCUCGAAUAUUUCAUGAACCUUGCUUCAAUGUCUAUGUCAUAGCAAUUGUUGGGUGCAAAACCAGAAUCAAUGUUGAUGUUAUUAAAGCCAAUUUGGGGCACACUUUCCUUAAGCACCCUCGUUUCUCUAGCUUGCAGGUAUGAAAAAUAGAUAUAGGAUGACUAAAUUAAUGUUGGUGAUGUAGCCAUAAUUAUCAAACAGGUUAAACUUUUUGGUAAAUUAAUAUCUUAGCAUGAUACUAAUCUAAGCUUGUUUUACACAAGGCCUUAAUUAGAAUUAUCCUAAUUACCACACCAUAAUUUGGUUUAUUGGUUCGUUUUUUGAUACUAUUAUCUUGCUUAGGUGAAGGAUAUGAAAAAAGAUGGGGCGAUGAAAUGGGUUCGAACAAAGGUGGACUUGGACAAGCACGUUAUAGUACCAAGAAUCCACAACACCAUUGAUUCACCGGACAAGACGGUGGAAGACUAUAUUUCAAAUCUCAGCAAAACCUCCAUAGACUUCUCUAAGCCUCUCUGGGAGCUCCAUAUUCUCAACCUCAAGACCUCGGAUGCCGAGUCCAUCGCCGUUUUUCGAAGCCACCACUCCCUCGGCGACGGCAUGUCCCUCAUGUCUCUUGUCCUCGCUUGUACUCGUCAAAUCUCCAACCCGGAGGCUCUCCCAACUUUGCCGGUGAAGAAGAGUUCGAAUCCUGAUCCGGUAAACUCCGGUGGGAUUUGGUGGACAAUUCAGUUGUUUUGGAAUACCAUUGUGGAUGUUUUGAUGUUUGUGGCCACCGCGCUCUUCUUGAAGGACACAGUGACGCCGCUCAGCGGUGUCCAGAAAAAAGGAGAUGGGCUUGGGUCGAGAAGGUUUGUUUAUCGGACCGUUAGUCUUGAUGAUAUUAAACUGAUCAAGAAUGGGAUGAAAACAGUAAGUUUAUUUUGGAAAGUGGCAUGACCCAAUUUUAAAAAUACUAAAAACAUUAUUUAGAUAAUAUCAAAUUACAUUUUUUUAAUAAUUCAUGGUGUUUUUGGGCAUUGCAGACUAUUAACGAUGUUGUAAUGGGAGUGUCACUGGCUGGUCUUUCUCGAUAUCUCAAUAGAAGAUAUGGUAAGCUUCCAUUAAUUCUCUCUUCAAUUUCUCUGCCUACCAUGCCAUUAAACUUUAUGAGUAGAAACUCUCUUAACAUGCUUUCCAUUAAUUGCAGGUGAGGCCAAGGAAGACAAAGGAGCCACCGAAGAGAAAAAUAAUCUUCCUAAGAAUAUUCGCCUUAGGGCAACUCUUCUCAUGAAUAUAAGACCAUCACCAGGGAUUCAUGUGAGUGAUUUUUCUUAUGCAUUAAUUGGUUAAAAAGAAUGAAAUAGUCUUCAUAUUUGUGAAUUUAUUAAAUUAUUUUUGACAUAAAUGUUAUUAACUAUUUUAAGUAUUUACGAUAUAUUUUAAAAGAAAAUUAUUUUUAUAAGAAAAUAAUAAGGACAUUUUUGUCAAAAUGAGACAAAAAAAAGAUGAAAAGUUAAAUUUCAAAAAUUGGGUUUUCAAUGAGUUUUUUAAUCAACUAAUCAUUUUUUUAUAUUGAAUUUGAAAGAAAAAUUUGGUUGUUGUGUGGACAAAUUAAAAUUUUCAAAGAAAAAAAAAAAAAGAAAAAAAAAAGUAGAAGCAGAAGAACAAACAAUGGCCUUUAGAUGCAUUUAUUAUUUUUAAUUUUUAAAAAUAGAAAGUUAGAUAUAAAAUAUAGGUAAAAAAAAUAUGUGUAUAUCUUGUACACUUGAAAAUAAUUUUUUUAAUUUUAAGAAAUUUUCAAUUCAUCAAAUUUUUAAAAUUUUGAUAUUUUUUAAUACAAGGUAAAUAUAGGUAUACUUUUUGUUCUACCUUUUUAAAUCCUAAUACAUUACUUUGAAGGGCUAGAAACAUUUUUUAAAUGUUUGAAAAAGUUUUUUUAAUACAAAAAUUAGACAUUUAACAAAGUUACUAGAAUUAUUUCUAAAAAAUUUAAGAAUUGCUUGAAGUGGUUUUUGGAGUAACACUUUAGACAUUUUUUUUUUCCAAAAUUACAUUUUUAUUAUGUAUCUUAGUAUAGAAAAUACUUUCAAAACACAUUUUCUUUUUAAAUUAAAAUAUUAAUUAAUUUUCUAUAAAAAUAUCUUCUACAGAAGUGUUAUGUCAAUGAUAAAAAUAACCUAAAAAUAUUUUAACAAGAAACAUUGUUAAAUGGAUCCUUCAUGUGCUAGCUACAAAACAAAUUGAUUAAUUAUUCAUAAUGAAAUUUGAUGGUAACUAGGCUUUAGCUGACAUGAUGGAGAAGGGGUCGAAAGCAAAGUGGGGAAAUUGGAUUGGAUCUGUGCUUCUCCCUUUUGUUAUUGUCUUACGCGAUGAUCCUUUAGACUAUGUUCGUCAAGCUAAAGCCAUAAUCGAUCGAAAGAAGCAUUCUCGUGAAGCUAUAUUCACUUUUUUCAUUAUUAAGAUGGUUCUCAAAUUAUUUGGCAUUAAGGUAUGAAUUUCCUUUUCUUUAAUAUUGAGAUAGAUCACAUAGAAAAUUAUUCAUUUUCAAACCCAUCUUCUUUGAAAAGCAACCAAACAAUAAUAAAAAAAAAACAAUAAAAUUAUGUAACAAUUGUUUUUGUUUCCUUUAUACUUCAUUUUCUUUGAUGCUUAUGAUCUUACCUUGGAGAUCAUUUUUUUGCAUGACAAGUAGGCUGCAGCAUUUUUAUACCAUAGAGUUCCGAAUCACACAACAAUGUGCUUCUCAAAUAUAGUUGGACCUGUUGAAGAAGUUGGGUUUUCUGGUCAUCCAUUGGUUUUCCUUGCUCCUAGUGUUUAUGGCCAACCCCAUGUAAGUACAUAUAUAUUCCUAACAAACCAAAGAAGCUCCUUUGAUUUGUUGGCUAAAGAUCAAGAACAAUAGCAUUGAUUAUACUCGAACUAAUUUUUAAUUCGAUAUGCAUAAUGAUCAUGGGUCUUGCUGCAGGGAUUGAUGAUUCAUUUCCAAAGUUACAUCAAUAAAAUGACACUUGUUCUUUCGGUUAAAGAAGAAAUUGUUCCCGAUCCUCACCAGCUAUGCAAUGAUCUUGAAGAGUCACUCAAACUCAUCAAGGAUGCUGUCAUAGCAAAAGGGCUUGCCAAAGAAAAUUCCACAAAAUGAGCAUGAUUAUAUAUGAAUAUAUACAAAUAAACACACAACACAAUUAAAGUUGUGUUACAUAUUUAUGAACUAUGAAGAUUUGUACUUAUAUGGUAUUGUAGUUUUGUGAUUGUAUGUGUUCUAUAGAUCUAAAGGAGAUCAAUUUGAAAUAAAGGGUAAAUGUGAGUUGUAGUGAAAUGGGUUUUUUUUUUUUAAAUAUAUUUAUUUUUUAAUAAAUUUUGAACUCUCUAAUUUUACAUAUUGUCAAAUGCAUGUAUUGAGAGGCUUGGAAAUUUUUAUAUAAUAGUAAGACAUGUGGGCCAAUCUUGGGCUUGAGCCUAAUUGGUUCUUAAAUUGGGUUAAUUCAAAUGCUAUGAAAACAAUAUUAUAACAAAUAUAUAGUUGAAUGUAUUUAAGGAUGUAAAAAAUAUGAUGGUACACAUGUGACUAUUUUUUGUUUUAAAAUAUUUACAAGUUUAUACUCUUUUUUUUUGUUUAAUAUUAAAAAUGUUAAUUACAAAAAUUAUCAUAUGGUUUGAUAAAAUUUAAAACAUAAUUAAAAUUUAUUUAUUUAUUAAAUUUCAUUAAAUCCAUUUUUUUCUUCACUUUAUUUAUUUAUUUAUUUUUUACUUCUACUUUUACUCUUUAUUACAAUAAAACCUCUAUAAAAUAAUAUUCUUAAGAUUAAGAGAAAUUAUUAUCUUAGUGAAAUUAAAUUAUAAUUUUUUUUAAAAAAAAAAAUCCUAAAAUGAGAGAAGUAUGUGUUGAUAUAUAUAUAUAUAUAUAUACUUCAUUGAUUAUUCAUUUAUAUUUGCUUAGUGUCUAAGGAUUUCUAAAAAUAUUAUUGUCUUCUACAUGUAGUGAGGUUCUUAAUUAAAUACACUAUCCUGUGUUGAGAUUUAAAAAUUUUAUUAUUUAAGGAAAAUUAUUAAUUUAUUAAAUAUUCUUUUAUUGAGGCUUUACCAUGUCUUUCCCUCAUAUUUUUUGGCCAACCAAACUUAUCAUAAAUACUUCAUCAUGUUCCUUUCCAAUCUUUGGCUCUCGUAACAAGUCCCAAAUGGACCCCAAGAUGAAGGUCAUUUUUCUCAAGUCUUAAAGAUGGACACAAGGACAGACAAAAAUAUGUGGACGCUAACGUGAAGAAACCUGAUAAAGAUCAAGAAACUAACAACAUCAACAGCUCCGCAACAAACUGAUGUAUUGAUGAGUUAGAGAGUUACACCUGCAAGCAGUUCGAAUAGUGGUUAAACCAAACUUGUAUUCUUUCAUAAUUGUUCUCUUUUAAAACCCACUAGUCGUAGCUUCACCACCACUUGCUAUGAUACGUAUCCCAAUAAUGGAGGGGGCAAGUCUCUUCUUACACUGUUCAUUUGUUGACACUAAAAAAAUAUUGCAUAAGAUGGUGAUGGUGGGACUAAAGGCCAUCUUACUUUAUCAAAAAUUUAAUUUAUUGUAGACCCCUGUUGGGGUGAGGACCGGGGAGAGUGGAUGUUUCUUUUUUUCAUUUUUCAUUGCAUUCUUUUUGAAGUGUGGGGGACCCCCUCUCUAGGCAUGGAUCCCGGCUGCAUGGGACGUGUAGCAGCAGGAGGGGAUGGCUGGCCAUGCUUGCUGAUGGGUGAACAGCAGGGCAAGUAGUGGCUUGCCAAGGAAGGAAGGAAAAGGGAGAUUUAGGAAAGAAGAGAGAAGAAAAAGAGAAAAAAGGAAGGGGGAGAAGAAGACGUUUGAGCAAGGUGGAGGAGAAUCCAGGAAGAAAGGAGGGACGAGCGGAGAGAAAAGAGGAAGAUUGAUCUUUCUGCUAGGACUUCCAGGUAAGAUUACUAUGAUCUUAUCAUAUUCUCUUAUUCGUUUGUUGCAAAUGGUCAGAUUCAUGUUUGGGCUCAGUUUGGUGAGUGAUGGUCAUAUAUUAUUUUCCGUUUGUUUUACUGGUUUUCAAUCUGUUGAUAACUCAUGAAGCGAGGUUACAGCUAUUAAAUCCUCAGACCCCUCAUCCUUGCUCUGUUCCUUAGCAAUUUCUUUCUUCAUACCUCUCAUGCUACCAACUUCCUGCUCAUGCACACAAGAACUGCACAUCCACUACUAACCUUCAUUUUCCCCCCUCAUUUUCCUCCCGUUUUCUCACUCCUCAAAACACCAGAAGAAGACGUCUACCAAGACGGCAAUCGGAGAUGCUCAAAACUCCAACUCCACUUCGAGCCUAACGCCAAAGCUCCAAAAUCCUAGCAUGGAGAGCCCCGGAUGCAGUUCUGGGAGCAUAAGGCUCUCUUACGGCGCUCCAGCGAGUCCCAUGCACCUCGCAUUCUACGUGACGGCGUCGCCAUCAACUCUCCCCUCAUCGUCGCCGUCCCUUGAAGCCAAUCUACACAGCUCACCCGCUACAGGAACUCGGUGGCAGCGGCAUUGUCGGCAACGUACGUGGCGAACUCUCCCCCAGACGGCCAGGUUCGACCGAGGAAGCUCCUCAUGCGCCUAUAAAGGCCGCAGCUGCUGGCUCCACUCUCGGACACGGACACCAGGCCGCAGCUGCUGGCUCCACUUCCAGACGCCGACACCGAAACAUGACAACGAACACGGCAUAUGUGGCGGCAAUCGAGGCGGCGCGGAGGAUUGGCAGCUUGGACCAACUUCGAGGACCUCCGGCGAUGCCUCUCUCACCUCCAUUUCCUCCUUCAUCAUCAUCUGAGUUGAAAGAAGAACAUGUGAUGGAAGGCCCAGAGAGAGAUGAGAAUUGAUUUGGGCUUUGGUGGGCUGGACCCAGAUGAAAGGUCCAAGUUUGUCAUGAAGGUAGUGGGUGCCUUGGGCUUGCCCAUGAUGUCAUUGGACUUGGGCUUGAGUUGGGGCACUAGGCCCAAGCUGUGAUGGUGAUGGAGCCUUGGGCUUGCCCAUGGUGGCGGGUAUGGGCUUAAGUUGGAGCCCAGGUCCAAAGUUGCUAAUGAAGGGCCCCAUUUCUCCUUAAGCCAAUCACUCUCAUGGCCCAUGUCCAUUUCAAGCUAGCCCAUUAGGCUGCCCAAAUUCUAAAUAAUUCUUUUAAAAACCUCUAACAUCCAUAAUUAAUUAAUUCAAUCAUUCCCUUUUAUUUGUUAUCUUAUUUUAUUUCUACCAAUUUAGUUAGCUCAACUUAAACACAACUAAAAGAUAAUUUAUUAGGAUAGAAUAUCGUUUUUAAAACUUAAAAUAAUUUAUAUUUUAUCUUCAUUGCUUUAGUUAUGUCUAAUCACCAUAUAUGAAAAUUUGCAUAUAAUUAAUUUAUGUUAAUCUCAAUGAAUUUUCUACAUUCUAAAUUUUAAGUCCCAUCUUCAAAACUUAUGUCAUUUAAAACCAUUCUUAAAAAAUUCGACUUCCUAAAUUAAUUUUCAAUUUCGAAUAUUUGACUCUUUAGAUAUUAUUCUUGUUAUUAUCAUUAUUAGUCCGUAUUUAUGUAUUUAAUUCUUUUAAAAAUUCCAAUAAUUAAAAUUCAAUUCUCCGAAAAUUCGACUUCUUAAAUUAAUUUUCAAUUUCAAAUAUCCGACUAUUUACUUUCAUUCGUUUAGAUAUUAUUCUUGGUAUUAUUAUUAUUAGUCCAUAUUUAUGUAUUUACUUCUUUUAAAAAUUCCAAUCACUAAAAUUCAAUUCUUAAAAAAUUCGACUUCCUAAAUUAAUUUUCGGUUUCAAAUAUCUGACUAUUUACUUUCAUCCAUUUAGAUAUUAUUCUUGAUAUUAUUAUUAUUAGUCCGUGUUUAUGUAUUUAAUUCUUUUAAAAAUUCCAAUCACUAUAAUUCAAUUCUUCAAAAAUUCGACUUCCUAAAUUAAUUUUUGGUUUCAAAUAUCCGACUAUUUACUUUCAUCCGUUUAGAUAUUAUUCUUGUUAUUAUUAUUAUUAGUCCAUAUUUAUGUAUUUAAUUCUUCUAAAAAUUCCGAUCAUUAAAAUUCAAUUCUUCAAAAACCUGACUUCUUAAAUUAAUUUUCAAUCUCAAAAUUUCCACUACUCAAUUUCACUCAUUUAAAUAUCAUGUUUGUUAAUCAUUAUUAUUAUUUCAUAUGUAUUUAUUUAUCCUCUUCUAAGAAUCGCAUUCAUUAAAGUCCAAUUCCUUCAAAAAUCCCAUGUCUUAAUUUAAUACUCGAUCCUAAAAAGUCCACUAUUCGUCUAAAUGUUAUUUUCAUCAAUUAGAAUUAUAAUCUCAUACUUAUCUAGUUAUUUAAGGUCUAAAAUCCUUUAAAAAUCCUCUGCCUUAAUUUAAUUUUUCAAUGACUCGUUCAAAUCUUAUUUUCAUCAAUUAGAAUUAUAAUCCCAUACCCAUCUAGUUAUUUAAAGUCCGAUCCUUCAAAAAUCUAAUGUCUUAAUUUAAUUUUUCAAUAAUUCGUUUAAAUCUUAUUUUCAUCAAAUAGAAUCAUUAUUCCUUAUUUAUCUAGUUAUUUAAAGUCUGAUCCUUCAAAAAUCUAAUGUCUUAAUUUAAUUUUUCAAUAAUUUGUUUAAAUCUUAUUUUCGUUAAUCAGAAUUCUUAUCUCAUCUAUUUAUUUAUUUAGGGUCCAAUUCUUCAAAAAUUCAACGUUCUAAUUUAAUUUUCAAUCUUAAAAAUUCAACUACUCAUUUUCUAUUCGUUUAAAAUAUUGUUUUCGUCAAAUAGCAUUAUUAUUCUAUAUUUAUUUAUUUAUUCUAAUCGUUAAAGUUUAAUUCUUCAGGACCCGACUUCCAAAUCCAAUUUCCAAUCUCAAAAGCUCCACCAUUCGUAUACCGCCGUUUAAUGAUCAUUCUCGUUAUUAAUGUUAUCCCGUCCAUUUACUUGUUCAGUUAUUCAUAUGCCAAAGAUCUCAUCUCUAAAAGUUCUUAAGCUUUCAAUCUUUAAGUUCACAUCUUCAAUCUCUAAAAUUCCAUCUUUCGCAAUUAUUUACCUAAUCUUUAUUAUUUCGCCAUCGUUGUUAUUCCCUUCAUUCGCUUGCUUACUCAUCCACUUAUCCACUCAUUUAAAAUCUCGAACUCUCAAAUCAUUUUCAAAAUUCCGAUCUCGUUCAAAUUCAAUUUCUAAAAUUCUCGUUCUCACAUUCAACCUUUAAAAGUCUGAUAUUCAAAUAAUCUCCAAAACUCCAAUUUACAAAUAAUCUCUAAGACUUCGAUUCUCAAAUGAAUUUCAAAAAUCCAGUUUUCCUUCGAACAAUUUUAAUCCCUGUUUGGUGAUGCAUGUGAUAUGUUUUGUGCUCUAUAUUGUGCACUGACUCAGCUUUUAUGAUAGCGCAUUGCUCGUCCGUGGCCCAGGUACGCAUCCAUUCCUAUUCUGGCCAUUCUCUACGCAUGUUCUGAUUCCCAUAUGUACAUAAUCGACUUAAGUAUCCAUUGAUUUUCCUAUUGAUUGCCACGUCAGCUUCAUUUUAUUAGUAAAGACCCGACUUUAGGAACUUAGAGGGAUGCUACGGUCUUUACUGUACCUUCCCGACAAGUAACCUGACCCUCGAACUCGAUCCGAUUUUUAGCAGAUUACCUUUUUCAAAAUGAGGAGUCAUACUUAGGGUUUUCUUUCUUAUUUUGUUUAUCCUUUUUAAAAAAUAAAACAAAAAUAGGUAGCGACUUCGAAUCAUUUUUCCUAAUCAAUAAAAUCAUUUUUCAAAUAAAAAUCGAGUUCACCAUCGAGUGGAAAAUGCAUGAGCCGAAAUACGGGGUCCACAAAAUGGCGACUCCACUGAGGAUAGUCUUAGAGGGUCAAACUUGAACUUGAGAUGAAGCAAACAUGGCAUUUGAUGAGUCGAUCAGCGGGUACCCAUAUCUUGAUUGCACAUUAAGAGUUCCCGAGUUUUCAUUUGGGACAUUGGCACGUUGAUUGUGUUUGUUGAUAUCUUGAUUGAGGAUCUUGAUACAACGAUGUUUGUUUUUGUGCUUCAUUGAUAUAUUUGUUUGAUUUGACAUGUUGAUUAUGAUGAUUUAUUCGUCCUGAUUGAGGAUCCCGUGAUAGCUAUUUUCUUUGUGCUUCAUUGCCAUAUUCGUUGGAAAUAUUGACAUGUUGAUUGCAUUGAUUACCUAUCUUGUUUCGUUUAGCAUAGUGAUUCCGAUAUUUGCCAUGAUUGUUUUGGUCACCUUGCAUGUAUAGAUUCAUUGUUAGCAUGACGUAUAUCGAUUGAUUUGGCACGUUGAUUCACUAGCUUGUAUAUUAUAUUGACCGUCUUUGAGCAUGAUGUUCGUAUCGCCAUUCAUCCUGAUUGUUAUAGCUUUUGCGUGGGCAUGAGUGAUAUAUCCUGUACUCUGCUUGAUUGCAUGUUGCAUGAUUGCCCUUCUUCUGCGUGAUUGCAUGUCGCCUGUUUUUGUAGGCCGCAUAUAUAUCCCUUUACCUCUAACUCUCUUGGUUUCGAUCAUUCCUUUCAUCCCGGUUCUCAUUAUUGCAAGUGUGAGACCUUCUGUGUGCUUGCUCUUUGACCGAGCCAGAGAUUAGGAGUAGGGUCUAGCGAUGGGCUAUAUCGAUGCACGGGAGCAUUCUGGAGGAGAGCGACACUUUGAUGUCGAUUGGAGUCCGAUCAUUGAAGACCUGUAUAGCUCGGAGCUAGGUUUCAUGGAUAUUUGUGUGGCCAGUGUGUUUCCUUUUCCUUUUUAGCUUCCUAGGGUUAUCGGAUGCACCCACAUAGUUCACUGUGCACUAUAGUUGGCUUUUGAGCGUUGAGAGUUUGAGAGGUUUCACCAUAGGAAACCCCUUGGGAUGUUGAGGUAGUGCAUCUGUGGAGGUGAUGACCACCUUGCAUGGAAGCGCCCUGUCUCUUCGGAGGCAUGCAGAGGGUUGCAUAUCGUCGGAGAGUAUGAUCGCUUCUGCUAGGGAUCUUUUAAAGUCCACCCAUAUCCAUUUAAAGCCACUUUCACCUCGUAGGUUGGACCGUAAAUCAUUUGAUUAGGACUCCUUCCCUACACGUGGGUGCAUCUGAGAGCUUUUAGAGCCUCUAUGGUUAUAGUUUGGAUUCGGAUGUUUUUUUUUUUUUUUUUUUUUGUCUCCAGUUGAGAGUGCAUAGAGAUCGGUGCGAGUUUGAGUACGGUCGGAUAGUUCGUAUUCUUCUUGGAUGCAUUGCUCAUUUUAGUUUAGAUUAUCAUUCCUUUCGUACUUUCCCUAUACCAUAUCCUCAUUUUGCUUCUCAUCUUGUCAGGAUCGGAUUUCGUUCACAGUCUGGAUACACCCUCUUUGGGUCAGAGUAGAGGGGAGAUUAGUCCGGUAUUGCGAGAGAUCGAGCAUGGAUCAACAAGUUGUUAUAGUGGAUCAGUUUACGACUGCCAUGUCUUCUAUCCAGGAGGCUUUGGCUAGCCUUAGGCAGGAGAUUAGCAGCCAACAGAGCAGACCGCCCAUAGCCUAGGAUGAGACUCUUCAUGAUUCGCUGCCACAGCCGCCGCCACCACCAGUGCCAACAGUGCCUCAGUCCUCACCUUAUGUAUUGCAUGGGCAUUCUGAGGUCGCUCCGCCCGCUGUUGUCCAGACCAUUGUUGUUGAUGACGCUCAUGCGCGUAUGGACCGCCUCGACAGUGUAUGAGGCAAAUGAGAGUGUUAGAUGGAUAAGUUGUUUGGGAUGAUUUUGAGGGUAUGCCGGUAGCCAGUUUGCCGGCUAAGUUUAGGAUGCCAGACAUCGAGAGAUAUACGGGCAUUGGUUGUCCGCGCCUCCACCUCAGACUCUAUAGCACAGUGAUGAGGGCUCAUGGUUUGGACGAGUCUCAGAUGAUUACUUUAUUCCUACUAUCUCUGAGUGGGGCAGCCCGGCGAUGGUUCGUUUCUUUAGAGUCUUCACGACGCCGGACAUGGGAUGACUUGGCCCGGGAGUUCCUACGACAGUUUUCAUUUAACACUGUCGUGGAUGUAUCGAGGAGAAAGCUCGAGGCUCUUAGGCAGAGAUCAGACGAGUCAAUUUCUUCAUUUAUUUCCCACUAGCGCGGGAAGAUUGCCGAGAUCAUGGAUAGACCUUCGGAGAGAGAUCAGAUACAGAUGGUCUUGAGGAGUUUACAAUCCAGGAUCACCAGGCACGUGGUCGAGGUAUCGUUUGCAGAUUUUGGUUCAUUGGUUCUGGCUUUAUACGAUGUCAAGGACGGCAUCUCGAGAUGAUUGUGGACAGAUUCUUCCCCUAGUGAUAUUAAGGGGAAGAAGCCCUUUGUAGGACAGAGGUUAGUGGAUGUGAGCGUCAUUGGUUCUUCCAGUCAGGGGCCUCUCAGGUGCCAUCAGCCGAUCCCACAGCUUUCCGAGCCUCAUUCUUCCUAUGCACUUCAUCAGUACAGGCCACGAGCACCUCGUCUGGCUUAUGAUCAGUCUUAUGUGCCGCAGACUUUGGCUUUGCCUUAUUAUGCCUCCCAGGGCAUUGAGAGAUCCCUGGUUUCCUACAUAACCACAUGACAGCCAUGCUAUGCUGCUCAGUUCACUGCGAAACCCACAACGCCUUAUUUCCGACCCAGAGCUCAGCAGACUUCUGCUUCAUUUGCCUUGAGGACGCAUGGGCAGUUCUCGCAGUUAGGCAUGCCGUUGAGCCAGGCUCUUCGGAAGCUUACAGAGGCAGGGUUGUUGACUGCUCUCGCUCCUAGGCCGCUACCUCAUCCGAUUCCACCUCAAUUCAGGAUGGAUUUGCACUGUGCAUAUCAUCAGGGGCCUGGACACGAGACCGAUCAGGGUUUAAUACACUUGGAUAAACCGAGUGUGACCACAAACUCGUUACCGACUCAUACCACGCAUGCAGUCCCUCCACCAGCCGAUGGUAUUCAUUUCUUGGACUUUGAUGAGACCGACGACCACGUCCAUAUGUUGAGUGAGGACGAUUUAGACCCAGAGCCCAUCAUGCCAUAUGUGAUUUAUGAGAUGAGUGGGGUGACUCUAGGGCCUCGGAUGCCUGCUCCAUUUCGAUUAGUUACCAAGGCGACGUCGGUGCAGGCUGCCACUGUUGUGCCAUUGAUUCUGCCACAUUAUAGCAUUCGGGCGCCAUUCAUCUUGAUCCCGGAUGUUGAGGGGGUUCAGGCUCCACAUGUUGAUAAUUCUCAAACUUUGGACGUUCAAUAUAUUCUUCGAGGAGGUCGAGUGAUGUGACAACCACCUCCUGCGGUAGCUAGGCCAGUUGAGGGUACAUCUGCUCCCGAGGAGGUCAGAGUAGAGGACGAUGAGAUCUUGAGACAGCUACAAAGCACUCAGGCUCGUAUUUCCAUCUGGAGCCUGUUGGUGUCCUCGAGUACUCACCGUGAUGCUUUGAUUCGAGCUUUGAGCCAGAUCAGAAUCGAGACUACCGCAUUUCCUGAGGGAUUGAUUCAUAUGAUGACGGCCGGCAGGGCCACAUGCGGGGUCCACAUUUAUGUAUCAUUUAAUUGGCAUUAAAAUUAAUUAUUUCUCAAAAAACCAAUAGAAAAAUUCUUAAACAAGAGAAAAAUACGAAAAAAUAUAUUAAUUCUUUUUUUCAUCUUUAGUUUUAUUAUAAAAAUAUAAAAAAAGUCAAAUAUAAUUAAAAUUAAUAAAAAAAGCUUUUAUAUUUUAAAUUAAUUAAUAUUUAUAUAAAAAAUUCAAAUUAGUGAAAUAAAUUUGAAGUAGGAUACUAAAAUAAUUGAUUAUUUUUAUUUUUAUUUUUUAAAUUUUCUUAACUCUUUUACUUCAACGUUUCAUUAUUAUUUUUGUUCUCCCUCAUUUUCUCAUUAUCUCGAACUUUAUGAAACCAAACAUAGCUUAAAAAUAAUGAUUUUUUUUUAAUUUAUUUAUUUUUGCCUUCUUCUCAAUUUAUAUCAGUGUGGACCCCGAAAUUUGCUCGAUGAGUUCUCACUCGAUGGCGAAACUCGUUUUUUUUUUUAUUUGAUGAAAAUUUGAUUUUUAGAAAAAGACUUGGAGUCUCCACUUAUUUUUGUUUUAUUUUUUUUAAGGGAAAAACCAAAUAAGAAAGAAAACCCUAAGUGUGACUCUUGAAGGAAAAAAACGGGUCUGUGAAAAACCAAGUCUAGGUCCGAGGGUCAGGUUACUUAAUUGGGAAGGUACGAUGGUGAACCGUAGCACCCCUCUAAGCCCGCAUACGCACAACCUCUAUUAAAUGAAUUGAGGAAAUUGUGGCAAUUAAUUAAUUAAUUAUGGAUACCAAGAAAAAUAAUCAAUAUACAAGUCAUGGUGAAAAUUAAUAUGCACAAAAACAAUGAUGAAAUCUAAUUACAAAAAUACACAAAAUAAAUAAUAAGAGAAUUAUGCAAAAUGAUAUAUUGAAUUAAAUAAAUAAAAGAUAUUAAAAAAAGUUUUAAGGAAAUUUCAAAGGAUUUGAUUAAAAAUGAUUUUGAAUUAAUGAUUUCCAUUUAUUUACUUAUAAAAAGAAAUAAUUUAUUUUCUCAAUUUCAGUUGUAUUCAAUUUUCAAAAAAAGCUAUUUACACUUAUUGUAUCAAAAGAAUUCAUUACAAAAUUUUAAUUUGGGUACAAAAAUUAUUUUUUACUUGCUUUUAUUGGAAAAUAAUGAAUUUUUAUAAUUUUAUUUACAAAAGUAUUUAGAUUCAUUUUCAUUUAAAAGAGUGAUUUUUAUAAAUUAUUUAAAAUGACUUAACUUUAUUUGCAAAAGAAAUUUUAAUUAAAAAGAAAAACAAAUAUUUAAAAUCUCUAUUUCUAAAACACUUUUAAUCUCAUUAAUUAAGGAAAAAAAAAUUCAUUUGAAAAAAAUAUUUUUAGACAAUUUUAUUAAAAAUUAAUUUUUGGAACAAUUUUUGGACAAUUUUUAUUAAACAAAGAAUUUUUUUUAACAAUGUCAUUAAAAACAAUUUUUCGAAUUCUAUUAAAAACAAUUUUUUUUUGGAUUUUUCUAAAUGCAUUUUUCUGAAUUUUUAUAAAUAAUGAAAAAAUAUUUCUUUUAUUAAAAAGAAUAUUUUAAAAUUAGUAUUUUAUUAGAACAUAUUUACUGAAUUUUUCCGCUCAUUUAAAUAAAAUUUCUAAUUUGUUUGAUGUUCAAUUCUGUACACACUUAAUAAAUACAUACGAAUAUUUACACAAACUAAUAAAAAUAAAAUCAAAUAAAAGUGAAAAAUAAAAUAUGUGCCCAAAUAAACUUAUAACAAGCUCCACGUGUCAUCAAUUUAUAUUCAGCCAAUGAGAUUACAGAGUGGGUCCAUGCAAAAACAAGAAUAACACAGAUGUAAAUAUCCAGAGAUGUAUAAAAUUGCACACAAAUAUUCAAACCCAAAUUCCAAUUUCAAAUUAGUCCCAUAAAUUUUGUCAAUUAAAAUGAGCCCAAAUUACUAUAGGUCUUAACCUAGAACAUCCAAAUUAAUAACAAAAAAAUACAAACACAAUCAACCAAACCUAAAAUUGGAUAAAUUAAAAUAAAUUAUACUAGACCUAAAUUUAAUAUUUCAUAAUCUGAGCCUAGUUUAAUAUACACCACAAUUGUCCCAUGUCCAAAUUAAACAAUUCAAAUUGACCAAGUUCAUAUCAAACAUUCAAAUAAUUCAACAAAUCCCACCCACAUUAUGGGUCCCAAAAUUCACAUCAAUUAACAAGCCCACAUAAAAAAAAAAAGAAAAUACAUGGUCAAAAGAAAUAAUAUUUCAAAUUCAAUCCAAUAAGCCCAAACAAAUAACAACUUAACAAUAGACCAAGUUCAAAUAAAUAAUAUGCAAUUGAUAUAAUCCAAAUAUCUCCAAAUUAAUCACUAAAUACAAUAUACCCACAAACCCAAAUUAACAAAUUUCAAAUUAAUUCACUAACAAUAAAUUAAAUCAAACUAUGUAUUAAUCUACCCACAAUAAAUUAACCCCAAAUUUCAUAUUAAUUCAACAAUCCAAAUUUCACAAACAAUAAUUACUAUUAAAAUAAAAUAAAAUAACAAUAAUAAUAAUAAUAAUAAUAAUGAUAAUAAUAAUAAUAAUAAUGGAAAAUAAGUGAUACGGGAAGUGAGAUAAUGAGAGAAAAGGGAGGAGGUCGUCGGUCGACAGGUGAUCUUGCCAAAAAUAGUGGAUGAUUUUUUUGGGAAUCACAAAUAAAAUAAAAUAAAAUAAAUUGAAAUAAAAAUAAUAAAAAAAUAAAUAAAAAUGGAAGAGCUGUCGGGUGUUUUUGGGGGAAGAAGAAAAAGGAAAAAAUAAAAAAUAAAAAAUAAAAAUGGGGGUAGGCUCUCUUGGGAAAACAGGAGGAGAAAAACUAAAAAAGAAAAAAAAAAUGGAGAAUAAUGGAGGGGGCUGGCUGGGAAGAAGAAGAGGAAUGGAGGAAGAAAAGAAGAGAGGAGGGAAAAAAUCCCCCCGGGGGGGGGGGGGGGGGGUCGGGGGCCCAAAUAGGGAGAAAAAAAAAAUGGGGGGAAAGGAAAGUGGGGUGGGGCCGGCCGUGUGGGAAGAAAGAAGAAAUGGGUGGGGUGAGAAAAAAAGGAAGAGAGAGGAGAGAGAAAAAAAAUUAAUAAAAUAAAAUAAAAUUAUAAUAAUAUAAUAAUAAUAAUAAAAAAUAAUAAUUCAUAAAAAAAUAAAUACUAAAAAUUAAAAGACGAGUAAACCUAAAAUAACACGUGUAAUCGAAAUUUAAAAUUUGAUUUAAAAUUAAUAUAAAAAUAAAAUUAGAAUAAAUUUUAAGGUUUAUAACCAGUAUUUUUAAAAAAAAUAAUAUUUUCUUUUAAUAAAUAGUUUAACAAAUAUAAAAUAUAAUAAAGGAAAAACAGUACAAUCCUAAGUACAUAUCUAACUAAAAAAAACAGCCAAAAGAAAAAAAAAAUUAUUCUGCUAUUUUGUUUCUCAAAUCAGGAGAACCGUCAUACAUCUAAACCCACACGAAAAAUUAAGAACAACUUAGAAAAAAAAUAUUUUUAUAAUUUUAAUUGACAUGAACUCAUUAACAAACAAAUUUGUCUAGCUCAAUUGGCUGCACCGUCAAUUCAUUAUUGAAAUCACUGGGUGAAUCUCUAAUUUCCUAUGUAGUAAUGCUAGCAUUUUAUAUUUGAAUUGGUGGCUUCACUUUCUUUAAAUAUGAAGAAGAAAAUUACAACAUAUACAAAAAAUAAAAACAGGUUAAAUUAUUUGGUAAACUAAUAUCUUAACAUGAUAAUUCUUAUGUAAAAUGUAAAAAAUUUUGUACAAAAACUGUAAACUUAGUUUAUAUCAUUAAAAAUUAAUUUUUUUAUAAACUUAGUUUAUCUACUUAAAAAUUAUUUUCAAAACUUAUAAAAUUUAAAAAUUAAUUUUUUAUAAACUUAGUUUAUCUACUUAAAAAUUAUUUUCAAAACUUAUAAAAUUAAGGAAAUAAUUAGUAUUUAAAAAUGGUUACAUUUUCAAUGUAAAGCUGUUUUUUUAUAUAAAAAUUAUUAUUAUUUUCGAUUUAAAAAAUAUAAAACAAAGAAAGACCAAAUUUAUUUAUUUAUUUAGGUGUAUUAGAGCUAUAGUCAAUGCUUUUAAAAAAGUUGAUAAAUUAACUCUAAAAGUGAUUGUCGUUAAUGAAAAUGUAAGACAAAUAAGUUUCGAACUUUUGUAAAAAAAUAAUUUUACUUGAUAUAAUAAUAGAUCCAUGAAGAAUUUAUUAAAAAGAUUUGUUAGAAUAAAUAUAUAAAGAGUUAAUUAAAUAGAUUAGUUAGAGGACAUCAAUAAAUAAAAGCAAUAUUACGAGGGUAUUAUGGGAAAAAAGUCUACAAAUAUUUAUACUUUCAUAUAUACUAACUAUAAUAAGAGGACUGUGCAUGUGAGGGAGGAGUGCAGAUAAGUGAUGUUUUUCUAAAAUUACUUUAAUUUUUUUUUUUAUUUCAAUACGUUUUUUAAUCAUUUAAAUUAUUAAUUUUCUAUUAAUCAAUACUUCAAAUAAAUCCUUUAAAUAAAAAUUUAUUAUGAUAACCCUAGAAAUUGGAUUUGAACAAUAUAAAUAAUUUAAUGUUUGAAAAUGAUUUUUAAUAAUAACUAACUAGGUUAUCAUUACGGUAAAAGUUGAACCAACGUAUGAAUUUAUUUUUAUAGUAUUUUUAAUUUUUUUAAUAAUUAUUAUUUUAAAUAAAUUCUUUAAAUUGAAUAAAAGAUGAAACAAUAUAUGUAUUUGUUAUUUUAUAGUUACCUAGAUGGUUAGUUUUCUGCUAACUACUGUUUUAAAUAAUUUUCCAAUGUAAUAAUAAUUAUUAAGAAUAAAUAAAAUGAUAUUUUAAAGCUUAUAUUUUACAAAGUCAAGAAUGACACUAAUACAAAGUAAUACGGUACAAAUAAUUAUUAAAUAUUUAAAAUUAAUAAAUUAAUUUUUAGACAUUAAAUUAUUAAUAUUUUAUGAAUAUCAUCUUUACUUUUAUUAUAAUUAAUUUGAUCUAAUGAUCUACCAACCAAGAACCCUCUGAUUAAUCCAUACAGCCUACCAAUAACCCCACAAUUAAUUCAUACAGCCUAUCAACAACCCCCGAACUAAUUCAGACAGCCUUAUUUAUUUCUACAUGUCUUUCACACAACAGUUGGGAGGUCAAAUAUUUCAAUAUCUCAAGUUCUCAGCCAUAAAGCCGGUCGAAAAAAUCUUAUCAAAAUGAAUUUAAAUCAUAUCACUGGGCGCAUGCCAUGAAUAGUAAUCAGCAACAACCUUCCUAUUCAUUCAAGUAUGUAGGACAACUACUAUAUAUGUACUUACACAAUGCUUUACGUUCCAAUAUAAUUUCAGUCUCAUCUACAAGCUAAGCUGAGUGUCAUGGAGCCUGUCGAUGAUCUGGAAUCGAGACAGCAAGCUCUAGAGCCUAUUCAAACAAAGAGGUCCGCAGCAAGAGAAGUAGAAGGAAAUGGCGAAAAACCUGAGGAUAUAGAAGAAUUAUUAUUAGAAGAAGAAGAAGCUCUGAGUCCAGUUGCUCGAAUUUUUCAUGAACCUUGCUUGAAUGUCUAUGUCUUAGCCAUUUCUGGGUUCAAAACCAGAAUCGAUGUUGAUGUUGUCAAAGCCAAUUUGGGACACACUCUACUUAAGCACCCUCGUUUCUCUAGCUUGCAGGUAUGAAAAAUAGAUAUAGGAUGAGUCAGUUAAGCUUUUGGGUAAAUUAAUAUCUUGGCAUUAUAUAUAUAAAAUCGAAGCUUGUUUUACAUAAGGUUUUAUUUGAAUACAUUUCUUAUAUUUUGCUUUUAAAAAAUAAAACCCUCACCUCUUGUACAAAAAAAGUUAAAAAAUUUAAGUUAGUAAAAAAAUUUUAACUUAAAAACUAAUACAUUUCCGACAUAAUCAUAUGAGAGUAUGUCUCGUUUUCAUGCGUAAAAAAAUUACUAUUAUUUUCUAUUUCUAUAAUAGAAGAUAGGAAGUGUAUCCAAGAAGAUAUUAAAGUUUUUAUUUAUUCAUCCAAUCUACAAUUCGAAAGAAGGUUCAGCAUUAGAUUAAGGUGGUGCUUGUUUUUUUGUUGAAUAAAAAGAACUAAAAUAUUUUAUUUUUCUUGUUUAAUUAAAAGUAACAUAUCGAUAUCAAUCAAUAUAACUAAAAUGAACUUGUUAUUAAUAAGUUUAGUUUAAUCAUAUUGAUUGAUAUCAAUUACUUUCAAUUGAAUAGAAAAAAAUAAAAAUAUUUCAUUUUUUUAUUUAGUAGAAAAACAAAAACUACGAGAUCUAUUAAAGUUAUAGUUUGUAUGUGUUACUAUCUUAAAACUUGUAAAUUAAUUGGUAACUUAACUCUAAAAGUCAUUGUACCUAUUUCUUAACUUUUAUAGAUUUUUUAUUUAUUAAAAAUAUAGGCAUUGUUAUCAAAUUAAAUUGGAAAUUUUUAAUAUUAUUUCAUAUAAAACUUUAGUAAGUUACAAUAUCAUCAAUAAUUCUCUACAAAUUAGUAUUCUUUUGCAACUCAUUAUAUUUUACGAAUUUUAGAAGUGCGUUUACCAGUUUAUUCUUUUAUAUUAUUAUCUCGAUUAGGUAAAGGACGUGAGAAAAGGAGAGAUGAAAUGGGUUCAUACAAAGGUGGACUAGCUUGGACAAGCAUGUGAUAGUACCAAGACUCCACCACACCAUUGAUUCACCAGACAAGACUGUGGAAGACUACAUCUCCAAUCUCAGUAAAACCUCCAUAGACUUCUCUAAGCCUCUUUGGGAGCUUCAUAUUCUCAACAUCAAGACCUCGGAUGCCGAGUCUAUCGUUGUUCUCCGAAUCCACCACUCCCUGGGUGACGGCAUGUCCCUCAUGUCUCUUGUCCUCGCUUGCACCCGUCAAAUCUCAAACCCGGAGGCUCUCCCAACUUUGCCACUAAAGAAGACCUCGAAUCCUGAUCCGGUAAACUCUGGCAGGAUUUGGUGGACAAUUCAACUGAUUUGGAAUACUAUUAUAGAUGUUUUGAUGUUUGUGGCCACAACGCUCUUCCUGAAGGAUACCAAGACGCCACUCAACAGUGGCCGGAAAAAGGGAGGUGUGGUUGGGCCAAGGAGGUUUGUUUAUCGAACCGUUAGCCUUGAUAUUAAACUAAUCAAGAAUGGGAUGAAAACUGUAAGUUGAUUCCAUAAACUGGUUCGACCCUUUAACUUUCCUUGUAUACUUGUGCUUUAAUUAGAAACUUAAUACAAGAUUUAUUUUUUUAAAAUAAGACAUGACGGAAAUAUAUAACAAUGUAAAUUUAUGUUUUAAUAAAGAAGGUUGUGUGUUUUGGGGCAUUGCAGACUAUUAACGAUGUUGUAAUGGGAGUGUCACUGGCUGGUCUUUCUCGAUAUCUCAAUAGAAGAUAUGGUAAGCUUCCAUUAAUUCUCUGUUCAAUUUCUUUGCCUAUCGAGCCAUUGUAUACAAGCUUACAAGUUACAGCCAACUAUGUAUAUAAUUUUGUACCAAUUGGGAAUUUUGGAAGAAAGCUAUAUAAAUAAUUUUUAAACUAUAUGAGUAGAAAUAUUUUCUAUUCAUUGCAGGUGAGGCCAAGGAAGAUAAAGGAGCCACAGAAAAGAAAAAUAAUCUUCCUAAGAAUAUUCGCCUUAGGGCAACUCUUAUCAUGAAUGUAAGACCAUCAUCAGGGAUCCAUGUGAGUGACUUUCUUAUUGAAUUUGAAAGAAUAUUUGUAGGAAAAUCUGGCUGCUGUGUAGCCAACUGAAAGAUAUAUUAUAGAUUUAUUCAUCAUGAAAUUUCAUGGUAACUAGGGUUUAGCUGAGAUGAUGGAGAAGGGGUCCAAAGCGAAAUGGGGAACUAAGAUUGGAUUUGUGCUCCUCCCCUUCAACAUUGCCUUACAGGAUGACCCUUUAGAUUAUGUUCGCCAAAUAAAAGCUGCAAUCGAUCGAAAGAAGCAUUCUCAUGAAGCUAUGCUCACAUUUUUUAUUAUUAAGAUGGUUCUCAAAUUAUUUGGCACUAAGGUAUGAAUUUCCUUAUCAUUAAUAGUGAAAUAGUACAAAUAAUUGAAUGAAAGAAACAUAUAUUUUCUUUUCUAGAAAACUUUCAAUGGAUAUUGCAUGCAUUCCUAUCACAUCGUUACUACUACGUAUAGUGUUUGGAUUAUGGACAAUGAUGUUGUCUUACUAAUGAAUUUUAGGAGGUCGAAUUUGCCAAUAAGAUUUCUAGGAAAGGGUUUUAUUAUGGAUUUUUGAUAUUUUUAUAGUAUAUUAAAAAUAUUAUUUGUAAAAAUGGUAGUUUUGAAAAUAUGGAGAGAAUUAUGUGAUUUGUAUAAGCACCACACAACAAUUUUAGUAUAUUUUUUUGAAUUGUGUCUUGAAAAGAUGAUUUCAAUGUAUUAACGUAAAAUCAUGUUUUUAACACGUGAUUAUAAUUCAAUUAUUUUUUAAUUGUUAUUCACAUUUUUUCUUCUUAUAUAUUUUUUUAUGUAUUUAUAAUUUUAAUUUUGUUCUCAUCAUGUCUUUCAACUUUUAUUGUUUUUUUCUUUUUAUUUUAUUUUUAAAAUAAUCAUUUUAUAUGGAUGAAAUGUAAAAGGUAGUAUAAAGGCUGCAAUUCGCUUGUAGAAGUUUAUUUUAAGGGAAUGUUAUGUGUUGGAUUUAGGUUCUCAUAGGAUUUAGGUAUUCAUAUAUAUAUAUAUAUAGAGAGAGAGAGAGAGAGAGAGAGAGUGCAUGUUAUCUACAUUAGGUUUCUUUAGAUCUAAUGCAAUGGAAAAACAUGGCGUUAAAACAAAAAAAAUAGAGUGGAUUUAGAAAGUACAGAAAUCAUACCUGCAAUCUGAAUAUUCCUAAGUUGAUUUCAAGUUGGUGAAGAUGUUAGAAACACAGUAAAACUCGUCUACUUGGUAUUCUUCAACCUGAUCUCUUCUCAUGCGGGUCUAAACAUGAGAAAAAUGUGGACUUUUUUCUUCUUCUUUGAAGGUGGAUAGAAUUUCUCUUUGGAGGCUCUUUGGAAGAAAAUAGACAAAAAUCUAAAAAUUUUAUAAUGCUCUUUGUGCAUUUAAGUAAUUUGAGUUCUUAGCCUCCCAAGGAACUUCAUAUUCUCAGCAUUAAGACUUCGGAUGCCGGAUUAGUCGUGUUUUCCAAAUCCACCACUCCUUUAGCAAUGGUAUGUCCUUCAUGUUUCUUGUCAUCACUUGCACCCACCAAAUCUCCAAUCCAAAGGCUCUCCCAACUUUCUCAAUGAAGAAAACUUCGAAUCCUGAUCCGAUAAACUCCAGCAAGAUUUGGUGGAUAUUUCAAUUGGUUUGGAAUAUUAUUAUAGAUUUUUGAUGUUUGUAGCCACAACGCCUUUCCUAGAGGAUACUAAGACGUCACUCAGCAGUGGUCAGAAAAAGGAAGAUGGGCUUGUGCCAAGGAGGUUUGUUUACCGAACCAUUAAUAUUGAUGAUAUUAAACUAAUUAAGAAUGGGAUGAAAACUGUAAGUUGAUUCCACAAGUUACAACCAAGCUAUGUAUAUAAUAUGAUUGAUCAGUUGGGAAAUUUGGAAAAAAGCUAGAUAAAAUCUUUAAACUAUAUGAGUGGAAACACUUUAACAUAUUUUCCAUUAAUGACAGGUGAGGCCAAGGAAGAUAAAAGGAGCCACCGAAAAGAGAAAUAAUCUUCCUAAGAAUAUUCACCUUAGGGCAACUCUUCUCAUUGAUAGCCAAACAGAAUACACUCAAGCUUCAGCUCUUCCAAACCAAACUGAUCAAGAACUCAGCUCCCAAUUAGUUACAACAACCCAAGGAAGUUAGAAUAGCUGUACAAUAGAGUAGUUAGUGUAACAGUUGAAUAAACCUUUAUAAAAACCAUGAUGCUGCUAUUAUAUUCAAGAUAUGAAAUGAAAAACACAGUUUCAGUUCAGUUUCUAACAUGGUAUCAGAGCAGAAUGAUCUCUUGAAAGAAUUCUUCUUGAAAAGAUAAGCUUCAGGCUGCACAAUACGCUCGUCUCUCAAAAUAUCAUCUGUCUCACUAAUGGCAAAUUCAACUCAGUAUUUUGAUUUGCAAACUAGAGUGGCACCUGUGUCUUCUUCCUCAAAUGACAUUCUUCCACAAACACAGGUACUUAAUCAUACACUCUCGAUCAAACUUGAUAUAAAUAACUACAUUUUGUGGAAAACCCAAAUAAAAAACGUAAUAUUUGCCAAUGGCUUUGAAGACUACAUUGAUGGUUUGAAGGUGUGUCCUUCAAAAGAAACAAACAUUGGUGUCUUAAACCUAGAAUUCAUUUUGUGGAGACGUUUUGAUUGUAUAAUGUUGAGUUGGAUCUACUCCACUCUUACUCUUGAAAUUAUGGGACAGAUUGUUGGGUUUCAGACUUCUCAUGCAGCAUGGACUGCAUUAGAGAAGAUAUUCUCAACUUCAUCAAAGGCUCGAGUAAUGCAACUCCGAUUAGAGUUCCAAACAAUAAGAAAAGGGUCUUUGUCAAUGAUGGAAUAUAUCCUCGGGAUCAAGAACAUUUCUAAUAACCUAGCAACAAUUGGAGAAUCAGUGUCUGAAAGGGACCAAAUUCUUUAACUUCUUGCGGGUCUUGGAGCUUAUUACAACUCCAUAGUAGCUUCCUUAUCAUCACAAGAAGAUGACCUCUCUCUUCACUCAGUUCAUAGUAUUCUUCUUACUCACGAGCAACGAUUAUGUCUCCAAAAUACAGUACCUAAAAGUGAUAUUGUUAAUGCAAAUAUUGCAACCACUCAACACAAAAAUAAUAACAACAAAAGGCACAACAACAAAUUCAGUUUCUCUCAAAACAAAAAUGGCCCUGGACUAGGAAGAUAUCCAUCUGGUGGCAGAGGACAAGGAAACCACAUUAUCUUUACUGAUCGUCCACAAUGCCAAUUGUGUGGAAAAUAUGGUCACACCGUUCACAAGUGCUAUCACAGAUUUUAUAUUAAUUUUCAAGGCUAUACAUUUGCAAAUAGUCCUUCUAUACAUAAUACAUCUAGUGGCAACAACCAAAUGCAAGCUAUGGUUGCAUCUCCAACUUCGGAAAAUAGUGAGACAUGGUUCUUUAACAUUGGGGUUACUCAUCAUCGGGCUCAAGAUAUUGAGACUCUCUCUAAUGUUCAAGCAUACAAAGGAAAUGAGCAAGUUAUUGUUGGAAAUGGUAAGAAACUUCCAAUCCUCCACAAUGAUUCAAAAUUCUUUCGGUCCACCUUCAAAAAAAUUCAUUUAAAGAAAGUCUACCAUGUUUCCCACCUCACUACUAAUCUAAUUAGUGUUUUCAAAUUCUAUACCGAUAAUAAUGUCUUUUUUGAGUUUCAUCCAAAGUUCUUUUUUGUUAAAGAUAGAGUCUCAAGACAAGUUCUUAUUCAAGGACAACUUAAGAAUGACUUAUAUGAAUUCCCUCCUUUGACUGAUGAUGCCCCUGCAGUCUUCUACCCUCCUACAACGUCAAACAUCACCUCUAGCCUCUGGCAUUCCAGGCUUGGUUAUCCAGUUGAUGAUAUUCUAACUAAAGCUCUUAAUCUCGUAAUUUUGCUUAUCAAAGAAAUAAAACGUGAUGUUUGUUCUGCUUGUCCAGUUGCAAAAAGUCACAAAUUACCAUUUUCUUUGUCAAAUUCCAGAGUUUCUCAUCCUCUUGCUUUAAUUCACACUGAUCUAUGAGGAUCUGCCCCAAGUCCAUCUACAAUUGGUGCUCAAUAUUUUCUUCUAUUUAUUGAUAACUUUUCCCGAUUUUCUUGGAUAUAUUCUCUACAUACAAAAGAUCAAGCCUUACCGACCUUCAUCAAAUUUAAAAUAAUGGUUGAAAAUCAAUUUUCUUUCUGUAUUCAAUGUUUUCAAUCUGAUAAUGGUGGAGAAUUCAAAACUUUCACUCCUUAUCUUACCACUCAUGGGAUUACAUAUAGAUGUUCUUACCCUACACUCCUGAACAAAAUGACCAAGUUGAACGAAAGACGAGACAUUUAGUUGAGACUGGUCUUGCCUUAUUAGCCACAACUUCUUUACCAUUACAAUUUUGGUUUUAUGUCUUUCAUACAGCUAUUUACCUCAUUAAUCGGUUGCCAACUAAAGUUCUUCAAUUUCAUUCUUUUUUUCAAGUGUUGUUUAAUAAAAUUCCAAACUAUCACCAUCUCAAAGUGUUUGGUUGCCUAUGCUAUCCAUACCUUCUCCCAUAUAAUAAACAUAAACUUUGUUAUCGCUUUAGUCCGUGUGUGUUUCUAGGCUACAGUCCUACUCACAAAGGUUACAUGUGCUUUGAUUCUAACUCCAACGGCAUAUAUAUCACUCGACAUGUAAAAUUUCAUGAGACAAAAUUUCCAUCCCAGUAGACUGUUAACACCACAUCUGCGUCUUCUUCUUAUCCGUUCAUGUCUAUUCCACCAACUCAGACUUCACAGUCUUCAAUUCCUACAUCUCAAUCUCCUCACUUGUCUAAUUCUACUCAUUCAUGUCAUUCUUCCCAUAAUUCAGCUUCCUUAAUUCCCAUACCCGGCCCUAUUCCAGUUCCUUUCAUUGCAUCUUCCAGUUCUUCUCUUACUAAUCCCUCAGCACCACACAAUUCACAUCUUAUGAUCACCCAAUCAAAAGUUGGAACUUUAAGAAAAAACUUCUUUUGGCUCAUAAACCUAUUGAACCUUAUUAUUUCCAACAAGCCUCCAAGGAUCCAAAUUGGGUUUCAGCCAUGGAAACGGAAUACAAAGCUCUCAUACAAAACCAUACCUGGCAGCUAGUUCCUUCUCCUGCUGAUAGCAAUAUCAUUGGAUGUUGUUGGAUAUACAAAUUAAAAUAUAAACCAGAUGACACCAUUGAUCAAUACAAAGCUCGCUUAAUCGCUCAUGGUUUCACACAAACUCCAAGUCUGGAUUACUUUGAAACUUUUAGUCCUAUGGUGAAAGCUUCAAUAAUAAGAAUUGUGUUUGCCAUUGCUAUUUAUUUCCAAUGGCCACUUAGACAACUAGACAUUUAAAAUGCAUUUCUAAAUGGUGACCUUGACGAACAAGUAUUCAUGGCUCAACCCCGUGGUUUUGUUGAUCCUCAGUUUCCCUCAUAUGCUUGUAAACUCAACAAAGCAUUGUAUGGACUUAAACAAGCCCCACGAGUUUGGUUGCAUAAGCUUAGUCAUGCUCUUCUUCAAUGGGGAUUCCAAGCCUCAAGAGCUGAUAGUUCCAUGUUUUUUCGACAUUUAGCAACUGAUGUUUUAAUCUUACUUGUUUAUGUUGAUGAUCUUUUGGUGACUGGAAGUAAUUCUUCUCAAGUUUCCUCUUUUAUUUCCUACCUUAACUCUACCUUUGCCAUCUGUGAUCUUAGAUGCCUGAAUUAUUUUCUUAGUAUUGAGGUAAUACACUAUGGAAGCAGGAUGCACCUCAGUCAACACAAAUAUGUUCAGGAUCUUCUUGCACGUACAAAUAUGUUGGAUUCCAAGCUAGCACACACACCUGGAAUUCUGGGUAGAACUCUUUCACAACAUGAUGGUCCUCCAUUUUUGGAUAUCAAGCUCUAUCAUAGCACCGUCGGUGCUCUUCAAUAUGUCACCUUAACUCGGCCCGACAUUGCAUUUGUUGUUAACAAAGCUUGCCAAUUCAUGACCAAUCCCACAGAAACUCACUGGCUUGUAGUUAAACGGAUCCUUUGUUAUUUAAAAGGCACCUCCAGUUAUGGUCUACAACUACACCAAGCUAAAUCUCUUGAUCUUUACGAGUAUACAAAUGCAGAUUGGGUCUCUUGCCUAGAUGACUGUCGGAGUACCAACGAGUAUUGUCUCUUUCUUGGACCCAACCUGAUAUCUUGGUCAUCAACCAAACAAAGGUUGGUAUCCCGCAACAGUGCAAAAUCUAAAUAUCGGGGUCUAGCUUCUCUAACCUCAUAAAUCAUAUGGGUCCAGUCUGUGCUCCAAGAGUUAUGUCUCUCUCUCUUUGCUCCUCAUUCUAUCUGGUGUGAUAAUCAAAGUGCAUCUCAUUGAUGGGAUAAACGCAAACAAUGCACAACCAGAUUUUAUCCCCUCUUGUGAGAACCUAAUAGGAAUCAAUUUAAUAGAGUAACAACAAUUCACCCAAUGCAACAAGAAUAUGAACACCAACAAUUUUUAGCGUGGAAAACCUUCCUAAAUGUGAGAAGUAAAAACCACGGGACCCUUAAGCCACUUAAACCCUCCACUAAUAUAAUCAAUGGGUUACACAAUUCUCUCUAGAUGAAACUAGAGGUUUACAUCAGCCAUAUCUCAAGACAAUUAGUCUUGACAAAUACAAAACAACUUGCAUAAAACAAUGGAGGGAUCUCACCAAAACAGAGUUACUGUUCCCGGACACAAAUCACCACUGUUCCAAACUCCAAAUCCAAUCUCCACCGUUCAAAAUGAAGAUCAAUGAGUUAAGAACGUGCUAACCAAAAAUCAUCUCGAUCAGACCACGGAUUAAUCUCGAUCAAAGCUGCAGAUCAGAACUGCCCGGGUGAAAAGAAAUUCAACAACAAAGAUGCAUUGUUCAUGGACUGAAACAACAACCUUCCAGAACUCCAAAUCCGAUCUCCACCGUUCAGAUUAGAUAUCAAUGAGUUGAGAAUCUCUCCUUCAAAUUUUAGGUCGAUCAGACCACACACGAAGCGGGAUCGGCCGUUUGAUGAAAUCUGGACAGUAAAGAGAAGAAAAGAAAUCAACGUUUUUCUUCUCUCUAACUUCAAACUCAAUGGCUCUUUCUCUUUUUCUCUCUAACUUUCUCUUCCUUUUUCUUCUUACUCUCCUCCUAGGGCUACAAAGAUGAAGAAGAAGAAGAGAAAAUGAUUUCUUCUUCCCUUUUAUACAUUAAGGCCUAAGAAGCCUUAAAUGUUUGGGCUUUGGGCUUUCCUCCACAAGAAGGAAAUAACCCAACCCAACACUCAUUUGGCUGCUAAUCGAGUUUUUCAUGCUCGAUCCAAGCACAUUAAACUAGAUCUUCACUUCAUCCGAGAUCAUGUUCUUCGCAAAAAUCUCAACACCCACUACAUUCCAACCUAUGAUCAAAUUGCUGACCAUUUUACCAUGCACUUACCAAACUCUCAGUAUCUUGGAUUUAGAACAAAGCUCUCCAUUGUUCCUCGCCCUGUGAGCUUGAGGAGGGAUGAUAGCCAAACAGAAUACACUCAAGCUUCAACUCUCUCAAACCAAACUGAUCAAGAACUCAGCUCUUAGUUAGUUACAACAACCUAGGGAAGUUAAAACAGCUGUACAGUAGAGUAAUUAGUGUAACAGUUGAAUAAACUUGUAUAAAAAGCAUGAUGCUGCUAUUAUAUCCAAGAUAUGAAAUGAAAAACAUAGUUUCAAUUCAAUUUCUAACACUCAUGAAUAUAAGACCAUUACCAGGGAUUCAUGUGAGUGAUUUUCUUAUUGAAUUUGAAAGAAUAUUUGUAGGAAAAUCUAGCUACUGUAUAGAUAACUUAAAGAUAUAUUAUAGAUUUAUUCAUCAUGAAAUUUCAUGAUAACAAGGCUUUAGUUGAGAUGAUAGAGAAGGGGUAUGUCCAAAGUGAAAUGGGGAAAUUGGAUUGGAUUUGAGCUCCUCUCCUUUACCAUUGGAUUAUACAAUGACCCUUUAAAAUAUGUUCGCCAAUUAAAGCCACAAUUGAUCGAAAAAAGUGUUAUCAUGAAGCUAUAUUUAUAUUUUUCAUUAUUAAGAUGGUUCUCAAAUUAUUUAGCACUAAGGUAUGAAUUUCCUUAUCCUUAAUACUCAAAUAGAUCAUCUAGGAUAUUAUACAUUUUCAAACUCCUCUUCUUCGGAAAAAAAAAAAUCAAUAAAAUCUAACAUCUAUUUUUUGUUUCAUUUCCUUUCUAUUUUCUUCAAUGCUCAUGAUCUUACCUUAGAGAUCAUUUUUUCUUUCUUUUUGCAUGGCAAACAGACUAUAGUAUUUUUAUUCCACAAAGUUCUGAAUCACACAACAAUGUACUUCUCAAACAUGGUUGGACAUCUUGAAGAAAUAAGUUUUUAUAAUCAUCCAAUGGUUUUCCUUACUCCAAGAGUUUUUGACUAACCCCAUGUAGGUAUAUCUUUGCGGUUAGAAAGCAUGAAACGUAAUUAGGAAAUUAUAUUUGCAUUCACCAAAUUUUUCUUUACAUCAAUCCUAUUUACACAUUCACUUUAAAAUACUAACCUUAUUAACACAUUACCUACAAAGUUCCAAUAUCACAAGAACACCAUACCCAUUCUUCUCUUUUAUGUCUAUCAUCUUCUUUAUUUUUCUCUCAACUUUUUUCUUCUCAACAACAAAUCCUGAGAAAAACUGUCUUUUAAGGCUUAGUCUUUGUGUAAAUUUUGAUUUAAAAAAAAUUGUUAUAAAAAAUAAUUGAAAAAUAAUUAGAAAGAAUUUAUAAAUGAUUUCAAAGUGAGAAAUCACCAAAGAAAAAAAAAAUGCAAGAGAAAUGAGAAAAUAACUCAUUUCAUGGUGUUUAUACCUAAAAAACUGAAUUCCAUGCAAAUGUUUAGGCUUCAACCUAGACAUUGAAAAGGAGUCCAAACCUAGAAGGUUGGACACUAAAGAGGGAUCCAAACCUAAAAGGCAAACACCGUGCAAAUGUUCAACCUUAGUGUGUUGGACACUAAAAAGGAAAAUAUAUGUGUAUUUCUCCUUCAAUGUAGUUCAAUUAUUUCCCAAUAUAAUCCUCUUCGGUUAAAAAUACCCUUUACCAAUUUUUUCUAAUCUCUAUCUCGCAUCAAACACUUUUUGGAUAAAAAAUUAUAUAUAUAUAACACUUAUAAAUGAAAGAAGCUACUUUGGUUUGUUGGAUAAAAAUCAGGAAAUAUGACAAUGAUCAUACUUAGACUAUUUUUUUUUAUACGAAAUGCAUAAUCAUCGUGUGUUUUUCUACAGGGAUUAAUAAUUCAUUUUCAAAGUUACAUCAACAAAAUGAGACUUGUUCUUUCAAUUGAUAAAGAUAUUGUUCUUGAUUGUCACCGGCUAUGUGAUGAUUUUGAAGUGUCAGUCAAGCUCAUCAAGGAUGUUGUCAUAACAAGAGGGCUUGUUAAGGAAAAUUCCACAAGAUGAGAAUGAUUAUAUGUAAAUAUACACAAAUACAUCCACAACACAAUUAAAAUUAUGUUACAUUUGUAUGAAUUGUGAAGGUGUGUGUGCUUCUAUGGUCAUUUGUAGUUUUAUGAUUAUAUGCGUUUUAUAGAUCUAAAGUAGAUCAAUUUAAAAGAAGACAUCUAAAUGGAAAUUAACGAUAAAUUAUGAUUUUUAGUUGAUAAGCAUAAAAUUGUUUACAACAUAUAUUUACAUAUUUAGGCUAUUCUUUACCAAAUUUAUUACAUAUUUAGGUUUUACUAUUUUAUUCGCAACAUAGAUUUGCAGUUAACGAGCCUUUAGAUAGCUAUACCCAAGCCUCCUUUAGAACCGUUUGGAUGAAUUGAUGGAUGAAAACCCUUCUAAUGACACUGGUCAUUAUCAUGGGUCACAAUAUUUGCACUACAAGAAGACAAGGUAAUGAAAGCAAUAACUUUUUAUUUUAUUUUAAUUUUCUAUUUGAUUGAAUUUUAGUCUAUUGAUUACUUAUUUUCGCCACUAAAAUUUAGAUAAUCUUGUCCUUUGAUUUUUUUUUUUUUUUGAACACACCACAAUUUUACUGUUCUUUCUUAAGAAUCAACAAUAGUAUUUCAAAUCGCCAAAAAAGCUCACUAUCCACGUGAAAAUGAUACUCGGAUCUCUUUCCAAUCGUAUUGUAAUCAUGAUUCUUAUGCUUCGGAACUUGACUUGUAAACGUUUAAUACUUUUUUAGGAAAAUAAAAUGAAAUUAAUAAACUUUCACUCUCACACAUAACACUUGAAAAAAAUCAACAAGCAUUAUUAAAAUGGUUUAUAUAUAUAUAUUUAUUUAUUUUUUAUUAAAUUUUGAACUCUCUAAUGUUAUAGAUAUAUUAUAUUGUCACAUGCAUGUAUCAAGAGGCUUGGAAAAUUUUAUAUGAUGGUAAGACAUGUGGGUCAUGCCUUGUUUUGGGCAUGGACCCAGCUUGGGCCAGUCUUGGGCUUGAGCCUGAUUGGGUCUUAAGUUGGCGUUAAUUAGUAUUAUGAAGUCAAAGAUUUACAAAAUUGAUUGGGCUCCAUGAUAUCUCACAUUUUCAAAAGAGAAGUUCCUAACACUUCAAAAUUUUUAAACAACAAAGAUAAGGAGGCAAGAGGGUAAAAUAUCUACAUAGGUUGUUUGAGAAAAAGUAAGGGAUUUUCACAACUCAAAUGCUAUCAAAACAAUAUUUUAAUCAGGGAUGAUAAUAAGAUGGGUUUGGAAUGGGUCACCUAGUCCCAAUCCUGUCUCGUUUAUUUAAACUAAUCUCAUUCUCGUUCCAUUAAAAAAAUUAAAUAGGACGGGGUGGGAAAGAGCAGAUGGGGCGAGACGGGUAUGCGAAUUUCCCAUACACGCCUGCCCCACUCCAUUUAACUUUCUUUUUAAAAAUUGUUUUUAACUUUUUUAUAAAUAAUUAAAAUAUUAUAAUUUUUAUAACUUAUUUUAUUGAAAAAUAUUUAUUAUUAUUAUUAUUAUUAUUAUUAAAAAUAGGAAAAUAAAAAUUAAAUUAAAUUAAUUUUAUAUAUAAUCGGGGUGAGGUGAGACAAGACAAUACCGAAACCCACCUUGAAUCCCUUUCGAGUUUUAAAAAAAAAUUCUCAAAUCCACUCAUAACCUAUUUAUUUAAAUUUCAAACUCAUCAUAUUAGGAGUCGGGCAUGAUGAGUACUCAAAAAAACUUGUCCUAUUAUCAUCCAUAAUUCUACACUUUUUUUUUUUGUUUCUUUUUUUAAAACAAAAACUUAAUAAUUUCUAUAUAAAAAUGUUGAAGCUCUUAUAUAAAAAGUAUAUGUUUACCUUGUGUCCCUAAUUUUUUUUAAAAAAUAAAUAAAUAAAUUUGAGGUAAUAAUUUUUAUUUUAUUUUAAGUUUUUCAGUUAGGUUUUAAAAGUUAUUAUUCCUUUUAAUACAAAUUUUUUUAUUUAAAAUAAAAUUAUUACUAUUUACUACUUUAAAAAAUAAACCAAUACUAAGAUAUUUAUUAUGAAACAAAAAUUACUAAAUGAUGCAUUUAUUUUUUGUGGGCGAAUGUUAUGACUUAUAUUAUUUGUAAGGAUAAAAAUAUUGGAAAUAUGUAUAAAAAUAUUGUGAUUGGAUUUUACGAAAAUAUUGAAAAACCAAAGGAAUAAAUAAAAUGAUGAAUGUAUUUAAGGAUAUAAAAAAUGAUUAUGCGGAUGUGACUAUUUUUUGUUUAAAAAUAUUUAAAAUUUUAUUUAUAAGCUUAUACUUUUCUUCUAUUUAAUAUUGAAAAUGCUAAUUACAAAAAUUAUCAUGUAGUUUGAUAAAUUUAAAAAAAAAAAAUUAAAAAUUAUUAUUCAUUAGUUUUUAAUAUUUCAUAUCAUAAUAAAUCUAUUUUAUAUCUUUUGUAAAUAUCAAUCAAGUUUGGCUUGGUGGUUAAUGUAGGGAAUUAAACCAAAUUCCCAACCCGUGAGAAACAAAAAUUAGAGAAAAACACACGCCAAAGAAAAACAAUCACACGCACAAGACAGUAUUUAUGUGGUUCGGCAAUUUGCCUACGUCCACGGAGUUGCAGGGAUAUCACUAUUAUCAGGGAAGAAUACAGAGUACAACCUAGCGGCUACAAUAUUCUCUCUAUAUAUAUAAUACGACAACCCCACCACACUAAAAAACCCUAAUUACAAAAGGUGGUUCCACAAUGGGCUAAACGAGCCCAAUAGGCCUCAAUAAAUCUCCCAUUAAAAAGCCAUGCAAUAUUAUUCGGGUCAGGUCGUCUAAUCAGAUUAAACAAAACUAGGCUCCACAAAGCCCAACAAAUCUCCCACUUGGAGACUAGUCCAAUCACCAACAUCAAACCGCUAUCCUCCAAGAAACAAUCCCUCAUCUCUACAACUCAUCCUCCUAUCCUCAAGCUAGAAGACCAAUUGAAGCUGCGCACAACUUCAACUUCUCAAUAGUGACACCCUUAGUCAACAUGUCUACCGGGUUCUUAGAUCCACAAAUCUUCUCAAGUAUUACCAGUUUAUCUUCAACAAGAUGACGGAUAAAGUGGUAUUUUGUUUGUAUAUGCUUCGACUUUGAAUGAAAAGUCGAAUUUUUGGUAAGAAAAAUUGCACUCUGACUGUCACUGUGUAGAAUGCCCAUCUCCUGCUUCUUACCCAAUUCAUCUAAGAAACCAUGUAGCCAAAUCAUCUUCUUUCCAACUUCAGUUGCUGCAACAUACUCAGCUUCUGUGGUAGACAAAGUAACAAUCUUCUGUAGAUUUGAAGCCCAUGAUAUAGCUGUACCACCUAGAGUAAAAACAAACCCAGUAGUACUCUUUCUACUAUCAAUAUCACCAGCAAAAUCAGCAUCUACAUAACCCUGCAAUUUCAAACUUGCACCUGUGAAGCAAAGACAUGUAUCUAAUGAACCCUUCAGAUAUCUUAAAAUCCACUUGACUGCCUCCCAAUGCUGCUUUCCAGGCCUACUCAUGAAUCUGCUCACAACUCCCACUGCAUGUGCAAUGUCUGGCCUUGUACACACCAUAGCAUACAUCAAGCUGCCAAUAGCUGAGGCAUAGGGCACCUUGCUCAUAUGGUCCCUUUCUUCUUCUGUCUUUGGUGACUGUUCUUUGCUUAGUUUGAAAUGACUACCCAAGGGUGUGCUCACUGGUUUAGCUUCAUUCAUGUUGAACCUGCUGAGAACUUUCUUCACUUACUCUGACUGUGAAAGUUUCAAUGUACCAUUAGCCUUGUCUCUAAUGAUUCUCAUACCAAGGAUUUGCUUUGCAGCUCCCAAAUCCUUUAUUGCAAACUAUUUGGACAAUUGCUUCUUCAGAUUAUUAAUCUUCUCAAUGUCAGACCCUAAAAUAAGCAUAUCAUCCACAUACAACAGUAAUAUGAUGUAAGAGUUGUCAAAGGACUUAACAUAGCAACAAUGAUCAGCUUCACAUCUCUUGAACCCAAUUCUAUGCAUAAAAUUGUCAAACUUCUUGUACCACUGUCUAGGAGCUUGUUUAAGGCCAUACAAGCUCUUUCUCAGUUUGUAGACUAGAUUCUCUUGUCCCUGAACAAUGAACCCUUCUGGCUGAAUCAUGUAAAGGUCUUCCUCCAAGUCACCAUGAAGGAAUGUUGUCUUCACAUCUAACUGCUCAAGAUGUAAGUUUUCUGCAGCCACCAUUCCAAGUACAAGUCUAAUUGUUGACAUCUUCACAACUGGAGAAAAUAUCUCUGUGUAGUCAAUGUCUUCCUUCUGCUGGAACCCUUUAACAACUAAUCUGGCCUUGUAACGUUUGCUACCAUCAUGCUCAUUCUUUAUUCUGUAUACCCACUUGUUGUGCAAAGCCUUCUUUCCUACUAACAAUUCAGUCAGUUCCCAUGUCUGAUUCCCCAAUAGGGAAUCCAUCUCAUCCUUCAUGGCUAACUCCCACUUGCUUGAAUUCUCAUCUUGCAAGGCUUCAUCAUAACACUCUGGCUCACCACCAUCAGUCAACAGGAGAUAAUUUAAAACAGGUGAAUAACGUUGCGGAGGUCUAGUGUUCCUAGAAGAUCUGCGAACUUCAACUACAGGUGUACUCAGAUCUACCUGUGAAUUUACAUUCUCCUUAUCUUCUUCACCCCCUUUUUAGACAGUACUUUCAGUCAAUUCAUCAAAGUUGACAAAUUCAAAUUUCUUUUGAUCUAUCUCUGUAACAUCUGACACUACAGAUGACCUGUCUUUGUACAUAACCUGUUCAUUAAAUAUCACAUUUCUACUUCUGAUGAUUUUCCUGUUUUGUUCAUCCCAAAACCUAUAGCCAAAUUUCUCAUCACCAUAGCCAAUGAAAAAACAUAUUUUUGACUUUGCAUCAAGUUUACUACGAGCAUCAGAAUCAAUAUGAACAUAAGAAAUACAACAAAAAACUUUUAAAUGUAAAAACUUCACCUCUUUACCGCUCCAAACCUCCUCAGGAAGUCUGAACUCCAUGGGAACUGAUGGUCCUCGGUUUAUCAGGUAAGCUGCAGUGCUAACAGCAUCAGCCCAAAAAGUUUUUGGUAGUCCAGCAUGCAACCUCAUACUUCUAGCACGCUCAUUGAGAGUUUUGUUCAUGCGCUCAGCCACACCAUUCUGCUGUGGUGUCCCAGGAAUGGUCUUCUCCAUCCUAAUUCCCUGUGCAGCACAAUACUCACUGAAUCCUCCAUCUAUGUACUUUCCUCCAUUAUCUGACCUCAAACAUUUUACUUUCAAACUUGUUUUUAUCUCAACCAUGGCCUUCCACUUCUUAAAAGUUACAAAUACAUCAGAUUUAUUUUUCAGAAAAUAAACCCAUACAUUUCUACUUGAGUCAUCAAUAAAGGUGAUGUAGUACCUUGAACCUCCUAGGGAUGCAACCGGAGAAGGCCCCCACAAAUCAGUGUGUACUAGUUCCAAUUUUUCAGCCUUCGGUGUCCUGCCAGUUUUCAAGAAGCUCACCUUUUUUUGCUUUCCUAAGAUGCAACUUUCACACAUGUCAAAAUCAAUGGACUUCAAUUCUGGUAGUUUUCCUUUUGACAGCAACAUCUUCAUCCCUUUCUCACUCAUAUGACCAAGUCUGCGGUGCCAUAGGCUUGUAUCAGUAUUUGCAUCAGCAACUGCAAUUGUGUCUCUUGGACAUGAGGUCAUAUACAGAGUGUCAGUUUUCUUUCCACGAGCCAAUACCCUAGCUCCCUUUGUAACCUUCUAAGUACCACCAACAAAUAGUAUUGCAUGUCCUUCAUCAUCAAGUUGUCCAAUAGAAAUCAGAUUCCUCCUCAGGUCAGGAAUAUGUCGAACCUUCUCCAGUAACCAAACAGACCCAUUGGGCAACGAUAUCCGGACAUCUCCCAGACCCACAACAUCCAAGGCUGAACCAUCAGCCAAAUACACCUUACCAAAAUCACCUGCAACAUAAUUCUGUAUGAUUUCUCGGUGUGGAGUGGUAUGAAACGAAGCUCCUGAAUCCAAAACCCAAUCAUCAAGUGGACUGUCUACUGCAAGAAGUAAUGAAUCAUGUACCUCUUCUGUUACAGCAUUAGCAGAAUCAUCUUCAUUCUUCUUCUUAGGGCUUUUGCAUUGCCUUUUAAAGUGACCUGUUUUCCCACAAUUCCAACAUUGUACUUGUUGGCCUGAUCUAGAUUUGCUUCUGUUCCGAUUAGAAUUUUUGGAAUUUGAUCUACCUUGAUUUGAAUUUCUGUUAUUACCUCUACCUCUUGUCUCAAGGUUUAGGGCAGAACCAGAUCCUGAGGUUUCACCUGCAUCUCUUCGGCGAAUCUCCUCAGCCAGAAUUAAAUCUCGUAUAUCAUUGUACUUGAGCUUUUCCUUUCCCGUAGAAUUGCUUACUGCCAUCCUCAUUGCCUCCCAACUGUUUGGCAAAGAAGCCAAGACGAUCAGAGCACAAAUCUCAUCAUCAAAAUCAAUUUCUACAUACGACAAUUGAUUUGUGAUUGUAUUAAAUUCAUUUAGAUGUUGUGCUACUGAUGCAUUCUCUGCCAUCUUCAAAUUGAACAAUUUCUUCAUCAGAUGCACCUUAUUGUUUGCGGACGGCUUUUCAUACAUACCGGACAAAGCCUUCAUCAGAUCUGCUGUGGUCUUCUCCUUUACAACAUUGUGUGCAACAGACCUAGACAGAGUUAACCUAAUAACUCCUAGAACCUGUCUGUCAAGAAGCGCCCAUUCCUCAGCCUUCAUACUCUCAGGUUUUGUCCCCAAAAGAGGCAGAUGCAAUUUCCUCCCAUAGAGAUAAUCUUCAAUCUGCAUCCUCCAAUACGCAAAGUCUGUGCCAUCAAACUUUUCUAUUCCAGACGCCUUUCCUGCUUCCUCUGCCAUUGCUCCUACUCAAACCUAAUCCUAGGCUCUGAUACCAGUUGUAGGGAAUUAAACCGAAUUCCCAACCCGUGAGAAACAAAAAUUAGAGAAAAACAUACGCCAAAGAAAAACAAUCACACGCACAAGACAAUAUUUACGUGGUUCGGCAAUUUGCCUACGUCCACGGAGUUGCAGGGAUAUCACUAUUAUCAGGGAAGAAUAUAGAGUACAACCUAGCGGCUACAAUAUUCUCUCUAUAUAUAUAACACGACAACCCCACCACACUAAAAAACCCUAAUUACAAAAGGUGGUUCCACAAUGGGCUAAACGAGCCCAACAGGCUUCAAUAAAUCUCCCAUUAAAAAGCCAUGCAAUAUUAUUCAGGUCGGGUCGUCAAAUCAGAUCAAACAAAACUAGGCUCCACAAAGCCCAACAGUUAAGUCACACGGUAGAAGUUAAGAUUAAAAGUAAAUGAUCAUGAGGAGGUGCAUAAAUAUACUCUUAAAGGAUAAGUUGAUGUAAAAAAGACGUUCCACAAGAUCUAUCUAGUUCUAAAUAAGUUAGGAUAACUCAACUAAGAAAUAAAGAAAAAUUGAAAGUAAAUAAACUCAAUGUAUUUACAACUAAGUUGUGUUUUUUACUCAUUUAUAUUUUUAUAAAAAAUCAAGAUUAUUAAACCAAAAGGUUGAAAACGAAUUGAGAAAAAUAAAAAAUUAAUAAACUUUAUUUAUUUACAUAAAAUCGUGGCUGUUAUCCAUUUAUAAUUUUUUUUAAUUAGGAUAAUUAAAAAAGUUUGAAAAAAAUAACUCAAAAUAAUAAAUAAACUCCAUAAAUUUACAAUUAAAAUUGUGUGUUUGAUCCAUUUAUAAUUUUAUGCUAAUCAUGAUAAGUGAACAAAACUUUUAGAAAUCACAAAAAUGGAAAACAAAUAAACUUCAUGUAAAAAAUACAUAAAAAAAAUUGUAUCUUGAAAAUAUGACACUAACAUAAUAUAAAAAAAAUUGGUGUCUCCAAGACAUAAUUUUAAUAAACAAAGAAAUCAUGUAUUUUAAGACAUGACUUUAAAGCUUGGGAACUGUUUUUUAAAACAAAUCUAUCUUUUUAAGAACAAAAAACUGUUUUAAAACUUGAAGACAUAUUUGAUAAUUGUUUAUAAGAAAACAACUUUUUGAGAAUUUGUUUGAUUUUUUUAAGAAUAUAUUUUAAUUAUUUUCAAUUCCUUUUAUUUAUCUUACAUAAGCUAUUUUAAAAAUAAUUGUAUAAAUAAGGAAAAUAAUUAAAAAUAAAGCAUUGAAAUAAAAAUAAUUAUUCUUACAUUAAAAAUACAAAAAAUAGUUUGAUAACAUUCUAAAUUUUCAAAAAAAAAAAAAACUUUUAUUCCAAAAAACAAAAAGUAAUUUUGAAAACUAUUCCCAAAAUAUAAUUUUUUUUUUUAGAAUGGGUUUCUAAAAUAUUCCUAAAUAUGUCCUUAAUAUUCUAUUAUAAUGUCCCCGUAGCAACUAUGUGACAUAACACCAUAAAUUUAGAAAUAUUUUAAAGUAUCAUAUUUUAAAAAGUAUUUUUAAAAUUUUCUAUAUUUGUUUAUAUUAUAAGAUCCUUGUAUUUAUAUCUCAAAUUACUCAAAUAUCCUUGGAUGGUUUCUAUUUAUUUAAAAAAGUAGUAUAACAAUUUAUUUCUUCUGACAGUGUCUGUCGCUUUCGGCAUUUUUUACAAUUAAAACAUGGCAUGAAAGUUUGGUAAGGUGGUUGAAAUUAUCAUAAAUUUGAAAGGAUGCCCAAGUUCGGUCCAAAUCUCAAAAACGGCAGUUGGUUCAAUUACUAUCCAUGUGCAAGCCAAAUUCUUUCCUGGCAAAACCCUCAAAUCCAUUUCUUGGAAAUAAAAUUUGUACCGUCUCUAUCAUUAAUCCUGAAUUCAAUUUGAAAUUCCAAACUUCAAUAUUAUGAGUUCGAAAUUAAUUUCCAAUGUGGUCUUAUAACUCAUAUGCCACUGGAUUCUAGAUAGGAGCAGAACCAACAAGGGUGGAGGCACGCCAUCUUUCCAUUUCCAUUGAUGACUUGAAGGGGGCCCUACCUACCUACAUACCUAUUAGAUAAUGAACAUAUACCCAAAAAAAGACUUUAUUAAGAGAAGUAUAUAAAAAAGAUAGUACAUUAAGCUAUUCGUAAAGACCGAUUUGAUCGACUUUUCUUGAGAUCCUAAAUGAGGAAACCUUAGGAAGGGUAAAAGACUCCAAGUAACAGUCACGUACGAUAUCAGCUUUUCCCCUUUCCUUUGACAGAUAAGAGUUACCUACUCAAUUGCAGGAUGUUUAUUAGACAAAUAAAUGCCCCAGCUACAAAAGUGAAGCUCUAUCAUGUGAGCUAUAUCACCUUGAGCCAAAUGAAGCAUGCAUAAAAAAGAAUUAGAUGCUUCUUUAUAUAUGUUUGUAUAUGUAUAACACAUGAUAAGAUCAUUCAUGCAUCCUUUUGUAUUUCUAAAUGUCUUUUACACAUCAGUUGAAGGUCAAAUACAUUUCAAUAUCUCAACUAUAUCAUGCGAUUAAAAAUCUUAUCAAAAUUGAUGUAAAUCAUGUUACUGGUGCCCCACACGAAAGACGUGUCCUAGCGCUCCAAUAACUAGCAACAACCUUCCUGUCAUAUCAUUUAAGUACGUGGGACUACUACUACAUAUAUGUGUUUGCCCAGUACCCGAUACAGUUUCAGUCUCAUCCAAAAGCUGAGCUGCGUGUCAUGGAUCCAGUAGGUGAUCUGGAUUCAAGACAGCAAGCUCUCAAGCCUAUUCAAACAAAGAGAUCAGGGGCAAGAGAAGUAGGAGAUGGCAAAAAACCCGGGGAUAUCAAAGAAGAAGAAGGAGAAGCUUUGAGUCCAGUUGGUCGAAUUUUUCAUGAAACUUGCUUCAAUGUCUAUGUCAUAGCCAUUGCUGGGUGCAAAACCAGAAUCAAUGUUGAUGUUGUUAAAGCCAAUUUGGAG